AUUGAACGCUGGCGGCAGGCCUAACACAUGCAAGUCGAGCGGAUGAAGGGAGCUUGCUCCUGGAUUCAGCGGCGGACGGGUGAGUAAUGCCUAGGAAUCUGCCUGGUCGUGGGGGAUAACGUCCGGACACGGGCGCUAAUACCGCAUACGUCCUGAGGGUGAAAGUGGGGGAUCUUCGGACCUCACGCUAUCAGAUGAGCCUAGGUCGGAUUAGCUAGUUGGUGGGGUAAAGGCCUACCAAGGCGACGAUCCGUAACUGGUCUGAGAGGAUGAUCAGUCACACUGGAACUGAGACACGGUCCAGACUCCUACGGGAGGCAGCAGUGGGGAAUGUUGGACAAUGGGCGAAAGCCUGAUCCAGCCAUGCCGCGUGUGUGAAGAAGGUCUUCGGAUUGUAAAGCACUUUAAGUUGGGAGGAAGGGCAGUAAGUUAAUACCUUGCUGUUUUGACGUUACCAACAGAAUAAGCACCGGCUAACUUCGUG
rnacentral:rRNA from 1 species